rnacentral:rRNA from 1 species
CCCGGCACAAGCGGUGGAGUAUGUGGUUUAAUUCGAUGCAACGCGAAGAACCUUACCUGGUCUUGACAUCCCGGAGACCCUUAGGAAACUAGGGGGUGCUUCCAUCUGGAAGAAUCUGGAGACAGGUGCUGCAUGGCUGUCGUCAGCUCGUGUCGUGAGAUGUUGGGUUAAGUCCCGCAACGAGCGCAACCCUUGCCUUUAGUUGCCAGCAGUUCGGCUGGGCACUCUAAAGGGACUGCCGGUGUUAAACCGGAGGAAGGUGGGGAUGACGUCAAGUCCUCAUGGCCUUUAUGACCAGGGCUACACGCGUACUACAAUGGCCGAUACAAAGGGCAGCGACACUGCGAGGUGAAGCCAAUCCCGUAAAAUCGGUCUCAGUCCGGAUUGGAGUCUGCAACUCGACUCCAUGAAGUUGGAAUCGCUAGUAAUCGUGGAUCAGCAUGCCACGGUGAAUACGUUCCCGGGCCUU